rnacentral:tRNA from 1 species
UAGCUCAGCGGUAGAGUGCUUGCCUUGCAUGCAUGAGGCCCUGGGUUCAAUUCCUCAG